rnacentral:rRNA from 1 species
UACGAAGGGUGCAAGCGUUAAUCGGAAUUACUGGGCGUAAAGCGCGCGUAGGUGGUUCAGUAAGUUGGAAGUGAAAUCCCCGGGCUCAACCUGGGAACUGCUUUCAAAACUGCUGAGCUAGAGUACGGUAGAGGGUGGUGGAAUUUCCUGUGUAGCGGUGAAAUGCGUAGAUAUAGGAAGGAACACCAGUGGCGAAGGCGACCACCUGGACUGAUACUGACACUGAAGUGCGAAAGCGUUGGGAACAAACAGG